UCUGCGAGCUCUUCAAUUGCCCACAGACGACUGGUUGUGGAGUCCUGAAGGGAUGUGCCAGGCCCAGACUAGGACAUAAUAUAAACUUUGCUGCAUUUUAUCUCUUGGGAAUGCCUCUGGCCAUUUUGUUAGCUUUCCACCUUGGGUUUGGGUUCUUGGGGCUGUGGCUAGGACUGUUGGCAGCUGAGGCUUGUUGUCUGUUAUCAAUGGUGUAUUUUCUCCUUCAAACUGAUUGGUUUCAGGAAGCUGAUAGAGCUUGGAAAUUGACUGGGGUUGAUGAUGACCAUCUGGUUCUACAUAGCGAAGCACAUCAUCAACAGACCUUUGUAACAGUCUAAUUAACCGGUUCGGUUUUUGAUUAGAUAUAUGGCCAGUGAUUAGUGGGGUUUGAAAUUAGCAAUGCCAGUGAAGUAGGGUGGUCAGCAGUCGAAAACCUCCUCAUCUGGGGAGAGGAAGAAUUCCUGCUGUUACAGUACUACUGUCGUCUAGAGUUGUACUUUCCACGUGUUGGGCAUUUAUAUGGUCAAGACUCAGGACCCACCAUUAGAUGCUUCACGUACAUGUGAAUGCCUGCAUGAUAUUUUCUGUGAUGAGCAACACUAAGCUUAGUUUCACUUCAUUCUGCAGUUCAUCAUGGGGAUAGGUUUCUAUGAUUUCCUUUCUUGUUCACUCUAGAUAGUAAUUAGUUGAAUGAUGGGCUCUCUAUCUUCUUCUUAUACGAAGCCUCAAAUUAAUUAGCGUCUGUUUGGUUAAUAAGAGUCCGGAAUCAGAAUUGGAAUCGGAAUGGGUCAUACCGAUACUCCAACCCUCUUUCUCCUGUCUCUCGACACUCCCUCCUUCAAACCUUCUACAGUUCGGCGGUUGAACUCCGAAGAUCCGACCUAUAUUACUCCGGCCAGGUCAUGAUGGAUCUCUCUCCUUUUAUCUCUCCCCUUCUGCAAACCCUUCAACCAGCUCCCUCCCCUUCUGCAAAACAUCUCUACCCAUCCUCUAAAGAGUUAAAGACCUCGUCUCUCGUCUUACUUUAGACGAGAAGAUCUCUCAACUCGUUAUCAAUGCGUCGGCGAUUCCCAAACUUGGUAUUCCCAGCUAUCAAUGGUGGUUGGAAUCGUUGCACGGUGUCGCCGAUGCCGGACCUGGCAUCCGAUUCAACAGAACCAUUCAACGUGCUACGAGCUUUCCUUAGGUCAUCCUCACUGCCGCAUCGUUUGAUAAACGUCUUUGGUAUCGCAUUGGACAGGCUAUUGGUACCGAAGCUCGAGCUGUAUACAAUGCCGAGCAAACCAAAGGAAUGGCAUUUUGGGCUCCGAACAUCAAUAUAUUCAAGGACCCCAGAUGGGGGAGAGGGCAAGAGACGCCAGGUGAAGACCCAUUGGUUUUUUGCAAGUAUGCAAUUUCUUUUGUGAGAGGGGUUCAGGGGGAUUCAUUUGAAGGAGGAAAACUUGGCAAUCGUCUUCAAGCUUCAACUUGUUGCAAGCACUUCACUGCUUAUGACUUGGACAAUUGGAAAGUAAUCAAUCGCUUUGGCUUUGAUGCUCGUGCUGGAGAGUUCUCUUCUCGCAUUCAGCAGCUAGCUAGCCGUGGUUCGGGUACCAACCAGGACUUGGUCGGUUCAAGAUUUUGGAUGAGUUGAUCAUUGACCUGUUGCUGAAGAAGGCAUCUUAAUAUAUGAAUCAGCUGUGCCAAGUGAAGCCAGGCAAUGUGCUGAGGUGUUCCGUUUGUGCCUUCACUAUGGUCUAUGGAGAAUUUUUAUUCCUUCUUCCCCAAUGACAUCCAACCAAUUUUCCCCUGUUCUGUUUUUUUGUCAUUCUCUGUUAUUCUUCUUUGAUAGAGAACUGUAUAUCUGGCUGUACUUGAAAAACCCCAACCAUGUAAUUUUGGUGUAUGCUGCUUAUUGGAAGUAAUUUAGACUCACAUUUUGUAACUGUGAUUUUGAAGGUCAAAGGAUUGACAUGAUCUUAUAAGCAUUGGCAUUUUAAACUCUC